rnacentral:rRNA from 1 species
CCAAUAGCGUAUAUUAAAGUUGUUGCAGUUAAAAAGCUCGUAGUUGAAUUUCGGGAUUGACGUGACGGUCGUGCCUUAAGGGGUAUGAACUGUCGCCGUUGAUUUCUCACCUUCUGUAGAAGCUCGAUGUACUUAAUUGGAUGUCUUGUGGAACCAGGACCUUUACCUUGAAAAAAUGAGAGUGUUUAAAGCAGGCAUUUUGCUCGAAUACAUUAGAAUGGAAUAAUAGAAUAGGACGGCAUGGUUCUAUUUUGUUGGUUUCUAGGAUCACCGUAAUGAUUAAUAGGGAUAGUUGGGGGCAUUAGUAUUCAAUUGUCAGAGGUGAAAUUCUUGGAUUUAUUGAAGACUAACUACUGCGAAAGCAUUUGCCAAGGAUGUUUUCAUUAAUCAAGAACGAAAGUUAGGGGAUCGAAGACGAUCAGAUACCGUCGUAGUCUUAACCAUAAGCUAUGCCGACUAGGAAUCAGACGAUGUUAAUUUUUUAAUGACUCGUUUGGCACCUUACG